AACAAUAUCCUGAUGCUGAUGAGUGAACACUUAAAGCUCCAGCAUCAGUGAUUUUGUUAC
rnacentral:pre_miRNA from 1 species